rnacentral:lncRNA from 1 species
AUGAAAUUCAUAUAUGUUACCAAGAAAAACUCAAGGAACAAGCAUUUGAAGAGAAUACAUUAUGUUCCAUUGUUAUGGGUGUUCCCAAACUGGAUCACUAGACAUUUAAGGGUGCAAGAAUUAUUUUUCCAUGAUUAUGGGGAGAUUUUUAAUGUCCAGUUACCAGGCAAAGAAGAACGGACAAAAUUCUUUGAAGAUUUAAUUCUGAAACAAGCUGCUAGGCCUCCUGUGUCAAAAAAGAAAGCAGGUUCGUUAACCAUAUCAAAGUUUAAUAUAAUAAUUUUGAGAAAAUGGCAAUGAAAUAUCAGUUAAUAUUAUUGACAGCUAAUAGCACAGGUUGAAAGUCUCAGUCAUGACAUUGAUAACAGCGACUGCUUAAAAAUCUGUGCUUCCUGUUCAGGUAAAAUUCUUGAGGCACACAAGUGUUUCAAAGUAUGGCCCCAGUCUAUCCUUUUGGGCAUAUUUUUGACUUAUGUUUUCCCUUUCCCUUACCUAUUUUUGCUAGAAAACACUUUGUCUUUAUACACA